rnacentral:rRNA from 1 species
GAAAAAGCAGGGGAUCUUCGGACCUUGCGCUAUUGGAUGAGCCUAUGUCGGAUUAGUUAGUUGGUGGGGUAAAGGCCUACCAAGGCGACGAUCCGUAGCUGGUCUUAGAGGAUGAUCAGCCACAUCGGGACUGAGACACGGCCCGAACUCCUACGGGAGGCAGCAGUGGGGAAUAUUGCACAAUGGGCGCAAGCCUGAUGCUAGCUAUGCCGACGUGUGUGAAGAAGGCCUUAGGGUUGUAAAGCACUUUCAGUAGUGAGGAAAAGUGUUGUUGUUAAUAGCGCAAUGCUGUGACGUUAGCUACAGAAGAAGGACCGGCAAACUCCGUG